CCUACGGGAGGCAGCAGUGGGGAAUAUUGGGCAAUGGGCGCAAGCCUGACCCAGCAACGCCGCGUGAAGGAAGAAGGCUUUCGGGUUGUAAACUUCUUUUAAGAGGGAAGAGCAGAAGACGGUACCUCUUGAAUAAGCCACGGCUAACUACGUGCCAGCAGCCGCGGUAAUACGUAGGUGGCAAGCGUUGUCCGGAUUUACUGGGUGUAAAGGGCGUGUAGCCGGGCUGACAAGUCAGAUGUGAAAUCCCGUGGCUCAACCGCGGAACUGCAUCUAAAACUAUAUAGCUGGAGUGCAGGAGAGGUGAGUGGAAUUCCUAGUGUAGCGGUGGAAUGCGUAGAUAUUAGGAGGAACACCAGAGGCGAAGGCGACUCACUGGACUGUAACUGACGCUGAGGCUCGAAAGCGUGGGGAGCAAACAGGAUUAGAUACCCCUGUAGUC
rnacentral:rRNA from 1 species